UACGUAGGGCGCAAGCGUUAUCCGGAAUUAUUGGGCGUAAAGAGCUCGUAGGCGGUUUGUCGCGUCUGCUGUGAAAAUCCGAGGCUCAACCUCGGACUUGCAGUGGGUACGGGCAGACUAGAGUGUGGUAGGGGGAGACUGGAAUUCCUGGUGUAGCGGUGGAAUGCGCAGAUAUCAGGAGGAACACCGAUGGCGAAGGCAGGUCUCUGGGCCAUUACUGACACUGGAGAAGCGAAAAGCAUGGGGAGCGAACAGG
rnacentral:rRNA from 1 species